GCGUUAAGACAGCUGAGGAAGACCACCUGUGACAGGCCACAGUACUGUAGCUCCUCCGCUGCCGCUCACCUCUGCAGUGAUGUUAGCAGCCAGCAGCCUGACAACGAACUCCGGUGCUCAGCCUUGAUAAUAUUCCCCCUGAAAACUCCACAGCUAUCAAAGGAGCUUCAUUCAGAGCUGAACUUGACAUCCUGAAUAGCUCGCUGCUCUGUUCUCUCCUGGAGGAUUAGCUCUGCCGCUGGGACCGCACGGCUAAUUUGACAAGUAGAAAGGUGGAGAUGUUAACAUGCAACUGGAACACAUUGACAGUCCCACCACUCCACACUACCACAGAUUCGCACACUCCUGUCUGACACACUUGUCCAGCCCAAGAGGCACACAGCUUGAGGUUGAAGCCAAUGCAGAGGUAUCUUAAAGUGCAACGCCACAACGGCUGGCUCCAGCUUACUCCCAUCAGUGCCACCAAUUUGGCGACUUUUUCUCAAGCAAGUUUUUGGACGGACCUUAACUCCUCUCCUUGAAGGGAGUUGCCAGUAUUUCUCAGUGAAUGAGCACUGAUGUGGCUCUCUGGA